AUUGAACGCUGGCGGCAGGCCUAACACAUGCAAGUCGAGCGGAUGAAGGGAGCUUGCUCCUGGAUUCAGCGGCGGACGGGUGAGUAAUGCCUAGGAAUCUGCCUGUUAGUGGGGGAUAACGUCCGGAAACGGGCGCUAAUACCGCAAACGUCCUGAGGGAGAAAGUGGGGGAUCUUGGGACCUCACGCUAUCAGAUGAGCCUAGGUCGGAUUAGCUAGUUGGUGGGGUAACGGCCUACCAAGGCGACGAUCCGUAACUGGUCUGAGAGGAUGAUCGGUCACACUGGAACUGAGACACGGUCCAGACUCCUACGGGAGGCAGCAGUGGGGAAUUUUGGACAAUGGGCGAAAGCCUGAUCCAGCCAUGCCGCGUGAGUGAAGAAGGUCUUCGGAUUGUAAAGCCCUUUAAUUGGGAAAGAAGAGCAGUAGGUUAAUACCUGGUUGUUUUGACGUUACCCAAAGAAUAAGCCCCGGCUAACUUCGUG
rnacentral:rRNA from 1 species